AGCAGUCGCCACGGUAAUACAGAGGGUGCAAGCGUUAAUCGGAAUUACUGGGCGUAAAGCGCGCGUAGGUGGUUUGUUAAGUUGGAUGUGAAAUCCCCGGGCUCAACCUGGGAACUGCAUCCAAAACUGGCAAGCUAGAGUAUGGUAGAGGGUGGUGGAAUUUCCUGUGUAGCGGUGAAAUGCGUAGAUAUAGGAAGGAACACCAGUGGCGAAGGCGACCACCUGGACUGAUACUGACACUGAGGUGCGAAAGCGUGGGGAGCAAACAGGAUUAGAUACCCCUGUAGUCCCUGUCUCUUAUAC
rnacentral:rRNA from 1 species